AGUAGGGAAAUGGGUUACUAGGAUGAAUGGAUGCUUUUUAGUGUUUUAUCUGUUCUUUUUCUUGCUCAGGGCUGGUAGGCUGGAUCUGAAAAGUUAAAGGCAAAUGUUUCAAUAGGGUUUGAUCUCUUUGAGUCAAAUCAGUUCUCAAGCAUAAAGGAGGAAAUGAUGUACAUGGACUGAGGCAAUAAGCGAGUAUGGUAGCAUCUAAGAAAGAAGCUAAAGGAUGGAAAGACAGAGAGACAUGGGUGCCAUGUUGUGACCCAUUGGAAGUUACAGCUAACAUGACUUCCAUGAAAGAAACUCUG
rnacentral:lncRNA from 1 species